GGUUUCUAAAAGUACUCAACUAAACUAUAUGAGCAACUUAUCAACCUGUGUUGUAACCUCCAGCAUCCAUGGGGUAAUUCACCUCCCUCUUAUUUACUUCCUCAUUUCUCACCGAUGUCUCAGCAUAGAUUGUACCAGGUAAGGGGCAGAACCAAAAGGGUCCUUCCUACCAAGGCAUUUCUCAUUAUUUGCCUCCUGGAUAGCAAAAUUUAAGUUAGGGUGGUGAGAAACUUCAACCUCAGAGUUAUGUUAGUAAAUAGGCUUUUUUUUUUUUUUUUGGAA
rnacentral:misc_RNA from 1 species